UUCUCCCUUGCCAUGCUUCUGGGAAUCUCCUCCAAAAUAAACAAGGAAGUUCCUGUCUCAGCGUCUUCUUUGGGGGAAUCUGAAUUUAGACAGUAGCACCAGAAGAGGGAAGCAGAAACGGAGGAUCUACUUUGGGUGCUGAGAAGCAGCGGAGACCUGCUCAGGGAAAACCAGGUGAGGUUCUGUUGAGACAUUGCAGUCUCCCCAGGCCGACUGCACAGCUGACUUAAUACAAGACAGCUGGAUUCUCACGUCAGCUUCUUCAUUCAAUACGCUGCUUUGGCUGAAGGACAUAAAGACCUGGCCUCACACAGUCAUGCAGUUGGAAAAGGAACUUCAGGAGCCUCUCAGUUAAAGCCUAGACAGCCCUUGAAUUUGUAUUAGGACUGGCGGUUCCCUCCAUGGCGAAGGCAUUUUAAAUAAACUGCUAAGGGUGGUGGUGGGGAAGGAAACUCGAAUUCUCCUGUUGACUUAAUUUUAAAUGACAUGGAUUGCCAACUUGAGCUCAUAGAUUACUCUUUUGCCAGCCAAGAUUACAUAUUAGAUUUUUUCAUGUUUACUUUUCUAAAUUAAGAAGAGAAAGCAACAUGUCAUACACAAAGUUAACAUUUGUACAGUGGUUUUACAGUUUGCAAAGCCUCUUUCUGUGACCACGUGACGCCAUUUAGUCCUUAGCAGCCACUUUAGAGAGGAGGAAGGCUCAGAGCAGAGUGACUUGCCCCAGACUGCCACCAGUAACCAGGCUGUGGACCCGGCUUCCUCAGGACCAAGCGAUGUGCUCGCAGGACGGCUCUGCUAUGGUUCUAAUGAACAAACACCUCACUUUCCAACCUAGGAUGCGGGGACCCUUUAUUUAUGUUCACUUUUUUCACGUACACAAGAGACAGCAUCUGUACUGGAAUCCAACGGGACUUUUAUUUGACACAGAAUACAAUACGGAUGCAGGAAGAGCAAACUGAAAAGACAAAGCAGAAAAGACACGGUUCUAUCUAAUUUAUAAUUAAGUAACAGGAGGGCAAGUCGUUAAAUGAAUAACGAAACAGUUGAGCUUGAUGGAAGAAUUUCUUGUUCUAGUGCCCAUACCUAAAAGACAAAGUAAACUAAUGAACUUAGUAUUUCCUGUUUGAGACUAUAAAACCUGCUUAAAUAUAUCAGCAAAUUUGGUUAAGACUUUGAAAAGUGACCACAGGUGUGUUCCAAGCCUGGGCUGGUUUCAUCACACUGACCUUUCUAACAUCUUACCGACCACUCACUUCCCAGUGAUGGGUCCCCCCCAACAAUGCCCUGGGACCCAACUGUACCCCAGGACUCUCCCUCCAGUUACCAGACAGAUGCGGGGCAGCAACAGGGAGCCGAGAGGCACAAGUCAGAGCUGCUGGUUGUGAAAGGGAGCUCCACCUGUUGGCCCCAGUCAGUGGCUCAGACAGCUUGAGCUCUCAGCCUCCCCCACCAGCGGAGCGGCCCAUUUUCACCUCGGCUCCAGUACUCAGGCAAGUUGAGGGUAAGGCAAAUACAGAAAAUAGUAAUGGACCAGCCUUCAAUUUAAAAAUCCACCACCAGUUCCAAUCAUAGCCCUGCUUACAUUCAGUGCUGAACUGUGGAACAACUUCGUACAGAUUUCAGGUCCAGGUUUCUGAUUUCCCCACAUGCCAAAAUUUGGCUCUAACAAGAUUGUAAACAAGGCCAGGAACUUUCUUCUACAUAUAAAUAAAUGGAUUUCUUGAAUACAAACCCUUCAUUAUUA